rnacentral:rRNA from 1 species
AGCUUGAUGCAGCACGCGCGUGCGGGAUGACGGCUUCGGGUUGUAAACCGCUUCAGUUCCGACGAAGCGCAAGUGACGGUAGAACAGAAGAAGGACCGGCCAACUACGUGCCAGCAGCCGCGGUGAUACGUAGGGUCCGAGCGUGUCCGGAAUUAUUGGGCGUAAAGGGCUUGUAGGCGGUCUGUCACGUCGGAAGUGAAAACUCAGGGCUUAACCCUGAGCCGGCUUCCGAUACGGGCAGACUAGAGGAAUGCAGGGGAGAAUGGAAUUCCUGGUGGAGCGGUGGAAUGCGCAGAUAUCAGGAGGAACACCGGUGGCGAAGGCGGUUCUCUGGGCAUUUCCUGACGCUGAGAAGCGAAAGCGUGGGGAGCAAACAGGCUUAGAUACCCUGGUAGUCCACGCCGUAAACGGUGGGCACUAGGUGUGGGGAACAUUCCACGUUCUCCGUGCCGAAGCUAACGCAUUAAGUGCCCCGCCUGGGGAGUACGGCCGCAAGGCUAAAACUCAAAGGAAUUGACGGGGACCCGCACAAGCAGCGGAGCAUGUGGUUCAAUUCGACGCAACGCGAAGAACCUUACCUGGGCUUGACAUGUAGGUGACAGCCGUGGAAACACGGUCUCCCUUCGGGGCACCUUCACAGGUGGUGCAUGGCUGUCGUCAGCUCGUGCCGUGAGGUGUUGGGUUAAGUCCCGCAACGAGCGCAACCCCCGUCCCAUGUUGCCAGCGGAAUGCCGGGGACUCAUGGGAGACUGCCGGUGACAAACCGGAGGAAGGUGGGGAUGACGUCAAGUCAUCAUGCCCCUUAUGUCCAGGGCUACACACGUGCUACAUUGGCCAGUACAGAGGGUUGCGAUGCCGCGAGGUGGAGCCAAUCCCAAAAAGCUGGUCUCGGUUCGGAUUGGAGGCUGAAACUCGCCUCCAUGAAGGUGGAGUUGCUAGUAAUCGCGGAUCAGCAAUGCCGCGGUGAAUACGUUCCCGGG